GACGAACGCUGGCGGCGUGCCUAAUACAUGCAAGUAGAACGCUGAAGAGAGGAGCUUGCUCUUCUUGGAUGAGUUGCGAACGGGUGAGUAACGCGUAGGUAACCUGCCUUGUAGCGGGGGAUAACUAUUGGAAACGAUAGCUAAUACCGCAUAACAAUGGAUGACCCAUGUCAUUUAUUUGAAAGGGGCAAAUGCUCCACUACAAGAUGGACCUGCGUUGUAUUAGCUAGUAGGUGAGGUAACGGCUCACCUAGGCGACGAUACAUAGCCGACCUGAGAGGGUGAUCGGCCACACUGGGACUGAGACACGGCCCAGACUCCUACGGGAGGCAGCAGUAGGGAAUCUUCGGCAAUGGGGGCAACCCUGACCGAGCAACGCCGCGUGAGUGAAGAAGGUUUUCGGAUCGUAAAGCUCUGUUGUAAGUCAAGAACGAGUGUGAGAGUGGAAAGCUCACACUGUGACGGUAGCUUACCAGAAAGGGACGGCUAACUACGUG
rnacentral:rRNA from 1 species